rnacentral:rRNA from 11 species
GCAAGGAUCUACAUACCCCAAAGGCACCAGAUCUCAUCUGAUUUUGGAAGCUAAGCAGGGUCAUCUCUGAUUACUAUUUGGAUGGAACACUGUCAACAAAUACUAGGUGCUGCAAGCU